GUGGGGAAUAUUGGACAAUGGGCGAAAGCCUGAUCCAGCCAUGCCGCGUGUGUGAAGAAGGUCUUCGGAUUGUAAAGCACUUUAAGUUGGGAGGAAGGGCAGUAAGUUAAUACCUUGCUGUUUUGACGUUACCAACAGAAUAAGCACCGGCUAACUUCGUGCCAGCAGCCGCGGUAAUACGAAGGGUGCAAGCGUUAAUCGGAAUUACUGGGCGUAAAGCGCGCGUAGGUGGUUCAGCAAGUUGAAGGUGAAAUACCCGGGCUCAACCUGGGAACUGCCUCCAAAACUACUGAGCUAGAGUACGGUAGAGGGUAGUGGAAUUUCCUGUGUAGCGGUGAAAUGCGUAGAUAUAGGAAGGAACACCAGUGGCGAAGGCGACUACCUGGACUGAUACUGACACUGAGGUGCGAAAGCGUGGGGAGCAAACAGGAUUAGAUACCCGUGUAGUCC
rnacentral:rRNA from 1 species